rnacentral:rRNA from 1 species
UGCGUAGGCUGAAUAGUCAGUCAGUGGUGAAAUCCUACAGCUUAACUGUAGAACUGCCAUUGAUACUGCUAUUCUUGAGUUCAGUUGAGGUAGGCGGAAUGUGUAGUGUAGCGGUGAAAUGCUUAGAUAUUACACAGAACACCGAUUGCGAAGGCAGCUUACUAAACUGACACUGACGCUGAGGCACGAAAGCGUGGGGAGCGAACAGGAUUAGAUACCCUGGUAGUC